UCCAGACUCCUACGGGAGGCAGCAGUGGGGAAUAUUGCACAAUGGGCGCAAGCCUGAUGCAGCAACGCCGCGUGGGCGAAGAAGGUCUUCGGAUCGUAAAGCUCUGUCCUUGAGGAAGAAGGAAGUGACGGUACUCAAGGAGGAAGCCCCGGCUAACUACGUGCCAGCAGCCGCGGUAAUACGUAGGGGGCAAGCGUUAUCCGGAAUUAUUGGGCGUAAAGAGUACGUAGGUGGCAACCUAAGCGCAGGGUUUAAGGCAAUGGCUCAACCAUUGUUCGCCCUGCGAACUGGGAUGCUUGAGUGCAGGAGAGGAAAGCGGAAUUCCUAGUGUAGCGGUGAAAUGCGUAGAUAUUAGGAGGAACACCAGUGGCGAAGGCGGCUUUCUGGACUGUAACUGACACUGAGGUACGAAAGCGUGGGGAGCAAACAGGAUUAGAUACCCGAGUA
rnacentral:rRNA from 1 species